GGAAAGGUGCCAGAGUGGCCGAUCGGGCUCCCCUGCUAAGGGAGUGAACCUCCGGGUUCCGAGGGUUCGAAUCCCUCUCUUUCCGCCA
rnacentral:tRNA from 1 species